rnacentral:tRNA from 1 species
GGGGACGUAGCUCAGCUGGGAGAGCGCCUGGUUUGCAUCCAGGAGGUCGUCGGUUCGAGUCCGAUCGUCUCCA